AACAGAGCCUGGUGGAUUGCGAUGUGCUCUGUAUUUUUUUUUUUCUUAAGUGCUCCAUCAAAGCCUUUCUGUGGCUGCUGUUUAGAGAAUGGUUUUGAGAGAGCAGAAACUGGAUAGAUCUGCAAGAAAGACAGAGUAAGAGAUACUGAGGAAACAGGGUGAGGGUGAUAGGUAUGAUGAUAAUAGAUGCAUUUGGAGGGGCUGGAGAGGUGGAAAGCGAGAAGAUGUGUUAGUUCCCUGGCUGAAGAACUAAGAACUAAAUGAAAGGAAGGGUGUCUUUCUGAAUGGAUUUGUUGGGGGAUGAGAGGGUGGAACGAGGCCCCAGUAGGAGAUGAGAAUGCUGACGCUGCCAAAGCUGGGCUGCACCCCCCUGGCCCCAGAACCCUCUGCAAUGUGUGCUGCUCAUUUGGAAGGAUGCUGUAUAUUUGCUUCAAGUGGUGCUUCCAGAAAGAAGUCAGAAGAUCAGUUCAAUUAGAGCUUUGGGUAAACAAGAUGUCUUAAUAUAAUCAUAUCCCAAAUCUUGCAUGAGACAGACUGAAAGUGAUCUUUGAAGGCUUAACUAAGAAUUUCAAGGAAGAGGAAGGAAAGGAGGGGGUGUCAGUCCACAUCCCACAGCAAACAAGCCGCAAGUCCUUUAUUGGGCACGUAUCUCCACCCACAACCCUCCCUGGAGCAUCUCAUGCCCUGGUUUUAUUUCUCUGCCCUUAUUUUUCUUUUGCUUUGCCAUAUCCAUCUACCAUUUUCCCUUCUGACAUUGCAUAUGAGUUUGUAAUCCGCUUUGAAACACGUUUCUUUUAAUGAGCCAUGGAAUUUCAUGAUUCUUUGUCUCCACUAGUUAUUAAUUGUCCACUGGUUGCCUGGAAUUGUUCAGGGUGG